CUUCUUCUUCCUCUUCCUCUUCCUCUUCUUCUUCGUCUCGCCUCGCCGCUCCGACGUUUCCCACCUUCCCGCUUCGUUUCCUUCGUCUUUCCAAUCCCCCUCCUCCCCCUCCUCCUCCUUCCCCAGUUCGUCGUUGCCUCGUUUCGAGACUGGAACGAGCAUCUGGCCACGCCGUCGAUUCACAGAGGAGAGCCCCAGAAGAUGAAGCGAUUCGCCGACCAACGUCAUCCACGCGCAUCCCGCAUCCUGGAUCGUCGUCGAUACCGCCUCGACACCGUCGACUAGCCUGCUCGAAUUCACCGCGGGGAGCGUACUUUUCCGGUUGACCGUCCCGGAAGUCCUUCCGACACUUGAACGAAGCUACGUCCUCUCGAGCGACCGCCAGCGUCGAUAUCCUCCUCUUGAUCGUACCGAACGGGAACAUCGUCGAGUGGCUCGACAUCGUCCGAGAGCAAACGCGAAGAACGAAGGGAGGGAUCUCGGAAGAGAGUGACCAUGGAAUGGAAACAUCAUUUGUUCACGGACGGAAAAAAAAGAAA